GGAACUGAGACACGGUCCAGACUCCUACGGGAGGCAGCAGUAGGGAAUCUUCCGCAAUGGGCGAAAGCCUGACGGAGCAACGCCGCGUGAGUGAUGAAGGUCUUCGGAUCGUAAAACUCUGUUAUUAGGGAAGAACAUAUGUGUAAGUAACUGUGCACAUCUUGACGGUACCUAAUCAGAAAGCCACGGCUAACUACGUGCCAGCAGCCGCGGUAAUACGUAGGUGGCAAGCGUUAUCCGGAAUUAUUGGGCGUAAAGCGCGCGUAGGCGGUUUUUUAAGUCUGAUGUGAAAGCCCACGGCUCAACCGUGGAGGGUCAUUGGAAACUGGAAAACUUGAGUGCAGAAGAGGAAAGUGGAAUUCCAUGUGUAGCGGUGAAAUGCGCAGAGAUAUGGAGGAACACCAGUGGCGAAGGCGACUUUCUGGUCUGUAACUGACGCUGAUGUGCGAAAGCGUGGGGAUCAAACAGGAUUAGAUACCCUGGUAGUCCACGCCGUAAACGAUGAGU
rnacentral:rRNA from 1 species